rnacentral:rRNA from 2 species
AACGCUAGCUACAGGCUUAACACAUGCAAGUCGAGGGGCAGCAUGAUUGAAGCUUGCUUCAAUUGAUGGCGACCGGCGCACGGGUGAGUAACACGUAUCCAACCUGCCGAUGACUCGGGGAUAGCCUUUCGAAAGAAAGAUUAAUACCCGAUGGCAUAGUUCUUCCGCAUGGUGGAACUAUUAAAGAAUUUCGGUCAUCGAUGGGGAUGCGUUCCAUUAGGUUGUUGGCGGGGUAACGGCCCACCAAGCCUUCGAUGGAUAGGGGUUCUGAGAGGAAGGUCCCCCACAUUGGAACUGAGACACGGUCCAAACUCCUACGGGAGGCAGCAGUGAGGAAUAUUGGUCAAUGGACGAGAGUCUGAACCAGCCAAGUAGCGUGAAGGAUGACUGCCCUAUGGGUUGUAAACUUCUUUUAUACGGGAAUAAAGUGAGGCACGUGUGCCUUUUUGUAUGUACCGUAUGAAUAAGGAUCGGCUAACUCCGUGCCAGCAGCCGCGGUAAUACGGAGGAUCCGAGCGUUAUCCGGAUUUAUUGGGUUUAAAGGGAGCGUAGGCGGACGCUUAAGUCAGUUGUGAAAGUUUGCGGCUCAACCGUAAAAUUGCAGUUGAUACUGGGUGUCUUGAGUACAGUAGAGGCAGGCGGAAUUCGUGGUGUAGCGGUGAAAUGCUUAGAUAUCACGAAGAACUCCGAUUG